UGGCAACUCCGCUGACCAUAAACUGUAUGCAUAUCUAUGAUAGAGCAAGGCGUUGUUAGCAAACGGUUAACUUCUGCCGUUUAGUUGCCGAGGUUCGUGUGUCGGCAAAUUAAAAGGAAGUAGUCUUUGUAUUUAACAUGGGUCCAAGAAAAGACUGUCUUUACGUUGAGCUGUAGUUGAUGACUGCCGAAUUAUUUCUUUUUUGGCUCAUAGACAGCGUUAAUUGGAAUACAAAGCUUGUUUUGUCGUGGCUAAACUUUGCUAACCCCAAAGCUAGCCUGACUGAAUGUGUUACGUCCACCGGAGAGCCCUCUGGACUUGGAGGAAGGAAGGAAGGAAACUGAUAAGUAGGAUAACUGCGCACCUAUGCUUCUGCAAAGCUAGAACUCUUUAGGACUCUUGAGUUAACACCGUGACGCAUUUAGAAAAGGUGACUAUCUGUAGACUUCGCGUGAUAUUUGACACUGUUUGGUUAAUGAGAUAUGCUGUUAGUUGGCAUAGCUAGCUGCUAGCGCCACGUCUCUGGGCUAGCUGUGCAGCAGACGAGAGCUAUCCUGUUAGCCACAAACUUCCAAAGAAGUUGUGUAAGUCAGAUUUUUCUUUCUGGUUGAGUUGGUCAAGGAGCUGAACGGUGAUUAAAGCGUUUCACGGUCAGACUCUUUAACUCUGAUCUGCUGUACCACCGGGACAACCGAGAAACUUAUGGCAUCGGAUGUGAUUGAGAGUGAAGCGGUGCUGAAGGGUGUAAGUAAUAUGAAUUUGAACAAUAGCAGCCCAGAUACUGUCACACCCAGGAGGACUCUUGAGGAUUUGGGAAACAGACAGACUUCCAGCCCGUCAUCAUCCGGUGUAUCGGGAGAAGGCGAUGACGAGGAAACAGACGAAUUGCAAAAUAGCACAGCUUCUGCUGCAGAAAAGGGCGAAGAGGAGUUUCAAGACAGUCUAACCAAAACAAGCGGUACGCCACAAGAAAGGAAGACUCCAGACAAUGUGCAGAAGCAACGAGGAAAAAGCUCUACCCCGGUGAGCGUUCCCCAGCCACGCUCACCAGCUGGAGCCACUGGAAGCCUUGAACGUCAAGAGUCAGUUGCCACAACAGAAGCCCGCCUCAGAAUGGAAGGAGUUGAACUUAAGGAAGAGUGGCAGGAUGAGGACUUUCCACGGCCUCUCCCAGAGGAAGAGGAGCUUGAAGAUGAGCUUUUUGCAGAAGCUUCUGAGGCAGGAAACUCUGGCUACGCAGUGAAUCAUGGCAAGAAGACUAAGAAAAAACUUGCAGCUCCAGACAUCAGUCUCACUCUUGACCGCAGUGAAGGUUCUCUUCUCUCUGACGAGCUGGAUGAAAGCACAGAGCUAGACCUCAGUGACAUGGACACGCCCUCGGACAACAGCAAUGAAUUUGAAUGGGAAGAUGAUCUUCCUAAGCCAAAACCCACAGAACUACUACAGAAAGGCGUGGAGUCAGUUCACGAGUAUUCGGCCUCAGAGGAGAGGGAAGACAGUCGACGCUGGAAGAUGCUUCGUAUUGGAGACCAGGAACACAGAGUGGACAUGAAGGCCAUUGAACCUUACAAGAGAGUCAUCAGCCAUGGAGGUUACUAUGGAGACGGUUUGAAUGCCGUAAUUGUGUUUGCUGUGUGCUUUAUGCCGGAGAGCAAUCAGCCAAAUUACAGAUACAUCAUGGAGAAUUUAUUCAAGUACGUCAUUGGCACACUGGAGCUUUUGGUUGCUGAGAACUAUAUGAUUGUGUAUUUAAACGGGGCGACCUCUCGUAAGAAGAUGCCAACUGUUGGCUGGCUUAGAAAGUGCUAUCAGCAGAUUGAUAGGAGGCUACGGAAGAAUCUGAAAUCCUUGAUAAUCGUACACCCCUCUUGGUUCAUUCGCACCCUGCUGGCACUCACCAAACCUUUCAUAAGCUCCAAAUUUAGUCAGAAAAUCAAGUACGUGUACAGCUUGUCAGACCUUGCUGACCUGGUUCCAAUGGAGUAUGUGUCCAUACCAGAUUGUAUCAAACAGUUUGACGAGGAAAAAAAUAGGAAAAGCCGUAAAAGCCGCAGAGCGUGCUUGCUCACAGCUCAUACUUGCUGUCACAAGUCAUAACUUCACAAGCUACAUGAAGAUAAGGUUUCAAGGAAGCUGAAUGUGUUGCUGCUUGUUAAGAAUCGAUCAGGACAUGCACGGCAAAACGGAGAGCGCAGCUGCUACUGUCCCGGAGUGACCUGGCUCACGCUUCGAGACGUGGAAAGGAACGGUGAAGAAUGUUGAGGACUGCAGCCAUUCAUGUUUGUUUUCUGGGUGAUGGGACUGGAGGCUUCUUUGCAUCAAGAAAGUGCCUUUUUGACAUGAUGCUGCCUGUUACAUGUUGGAACUGUUUUUUGUUUUUGUGCUGCAUUUCUGUGUCAACCAGUUUGAUCUGCAGCACUUUGUCCACAUGCUGUCAUAAACUUUUUAAUCCUUUUUUAUUUACUCCUGUAUCUCAUGUCAAACUAAGCGCAUUGGUUUCCCUGUAGCUACUGGUGUAUGUACACUAUUUGAGGCACUCUUGUUACAAGUGGUUGAUGCAUGUUCUACUUUAUUACAUUUAAAAUUAUAUAUUUAUAUUCAAAAGGUGUCAAAGGAAAUAAAUUAAUAUAUUUUUAUGAUGGAUCUGAUUUUAAACUGCGUAUUAGGUCACUGACUCACUGAGUGGCAUUGGAUAGAACACGUUUAAUGGCAUCUUGUUCACUGUUCACUGCUGAUGUUCUCUGUUAAAAUCCUGCCUGGGGAAAGGAAAUCUUUGUUUUUAUUUUAUCUUUUUUUUUCUUUUUCUCGAUCUUUUUUUUUCUUUUCUUUUUUUUUUUUUUUUUUUUCUUUUGGCCCCUCACUUGAAUGUACUGUUUUUGCUUGUUGGGGGUGAACACUUGCGAAAGAAACUAUCUGAACCAAGGAUGUAGGUCUUUAUUUUCUCAUUUCCUUCAAAGUAAAGCCAUGGAUCCAA